GAUGAACGCUGGCGGCGUGCCUAACACAUGCAAGUCGAACGGUCUUGUGAGGGAGCUUGCUCCCAAACAGGAUAGUGGCGGACGGGUGAGUAACGCAUGGAUAACCUGGCCUAUACAGGGGGAUAACAGCGAGAAAUCGUUGCUAAUACCGCAUAAGCAUACAGUACUGCAUGGUACAGUGUGAAAAGAUUUUAUCGGUAUAGAAUGGAUCCGCGUCUGAUUAGCUAGUUGGUGAGGUAAAGGCUCACCAAGGCGACGAUCAGUAGCCGGCUGGACAGAGCGAUCGGCCACAUCGGGACUGAGACACGGCCCAAACUCCUACCGGAGGCAGCAGUGGGGAAUAUUGCACAAUGGGGGAAACCCUGAUGCAGCGACGCCGCGUGAAGGAAGAAGGUCUUCGGAUUGUAAACUUCUAUCAGCAGGGAAGAAAAUGACAGUACCUGACUAAGAAGCCCCGGCUAACUACGUGCCAGCAGCCGCCGUAAUAC
rnacentral:rRNA from 1 species